rnacentral:rRNA from 1 species
GUGGGGAAUCUUGCGCAAUGGGCGAAAGCCUGACGCAGCCAUGCCGCGUGAAUGAUGAAGGUCUUAGGAUUGUAAAAUUCUUUCACCGGGGACGAUAAUGACGGUACCCGGAGAAGAAGCUCCGGCUAACUUCGUGCCAGCAGCCGCGGUAAUACGAAGGGGGCUAGCGUUGCUCGGAAUUACUGGGCGUAAAGGGCGCGUAGGCGGACAGCUUAGUCAGAGGUGAAAGCCCAGGGCUCAACCUUGGAAUUGCCUUUGAUACUGGCUGUCUUGAGUUUGAGAGAGGUGAGGGGAACUCCGAGUGUAGAGGUGAAAUUCGUAGAUAUGCGGAAGAACACCAGUGGCGAAGGCGACUCACUGGCCCAAUACUGACGCUGAGGCGCGAAAGCGUGGGGAGCAAACAGGAUUAGAAACCCGGGUAGUCC